UGUAUUUUGCUCUCAGUUCACCCAUUUAUGGAGCUCAAAUUUGGAUCCAAGUGUAGUAAAUAUCUACUACUGUUACUUUCUUUACCUUCCUCUUACUCCAUUUCUCUGGUAGCCCAGAUCGUCCUCUGGGAACUGCUCACGUGUUAUUUUUAGUCUGAGGAGGGGUCUGCAUCUUCCUGGGCUACUGAUAGAAAACCUUGCAGGAGUUUCUGAUACCAGAUAGAUUUGGGUACAGCUAAUUACUGCAUGCUGCUUUCCAAUGGGAUCGUUGCUUUGUGCUGUUGGAAAAAUGCUGCCCGCAUUGGGCCACUUGCUGUAGUGGAUCGAGGAAGAGGCAGAUGAAUGUUAAACUCCCGUCAAGCUCUGUAAGCCAGCCUCCAGGGCGGGACCUUUGGCCGGCCCGUCCCGCGCAUGCGCACAUGCACACACCUGCCCCUUGAGAGCAGGCACAGCCCGGAAGUGCACCUCUGAGCCCUUGUCCCGAUUUCCACUGCACACUCUCGCCUCCCUUGCAAGCACUGCAGGUGCGAGCUGAAAAAGACACAGGCCCUGUUGGAAGAAUCCUGAUAAGAGAAGCUGGGAGCCAGGCUGAGGGGAAGAAACAGAAAUAUUGAUCUCAGGAGCUGACGGGUCUCACGGAAGGGUCCAGAGCUAACAAAGAAAAAUAAUAUAAUGCAAACACUACCACGUUGCAUGGAAAGAUGUGGUCAAUGACUAACAGUAGCUGCUACCAGGACAAGAAUGCAUACAACCAGAAGUGACCAUCUUCUAAUGGAAGAACACAUCUUCUGCGGUGAUCAUGCCAAAUACCGAGACUGAGUCUGAGCACAUCUCUUACUCUGCCCCCUAUGUAUAGGAAAUAGAGCGGUAGAAGGACAACUGGCAAAAUUCAGGUCGUAGGAAACCCAUCAGUCUUUGCUAGUUAUUGUAUUUAUGUUUAUGCCUAAUUUAUGCUUAUCUCUAUCAUCGUGUCUCUUUUUUUUCCCUCUACCUAAGUUUAUGUCUAUAUCAUUCAGUCUCUGUAUGCAUAUCUACACAAGUCAGUGUUUACAUCUACAUCUGUAUCUUAUGUCUUGUUCAAACCUUCUCUGUCUAUUAUGUGAAAGAUAAAGAGGUGAUGUAUGUAUUAAAAAAAAUAAGAGACAUAA